rnacentral:rRNA from 1 species
GGCGUGCUUAACACAUGCAAGUCGAACGAUGAAGCCUGUAACUUGUUGUGGGUGGAUUAGUGGCGAACGGGUGAGUAAUACGUGAGUAACCUGCCCUCCUUUUUGGGAUAAGCCUUGGAAACGGGGUCUAAUACCGGAUAUUCUGGCAUGCUCGCAUGGGUGUGUUGGGAAAGCUUUAUGUGAAGGGGGAUGGGCUCGCGGCCUAUCAGCUUGUUGGUGGGGUGAUGGCCUACCAAGGCGGUGACGGGUAGCCGGCCUGAGAGGGUGACCGGCCACAUUGGGACUGAGAUACGGCCCAGACUCCUACGGGAGGCAGCAGUGGGGGAUAUUGCACAAUGGGCGAAAGCCUGAUGCAGSGACGCCGCGUGGGGGAUGAAGGCUUUCGGGUUGUAAACCUCUUUCGCUAUCGAACAAGGCUCAUUUUUUGGUGGGUUGAGGGUAGGUGGAGAAGAAGCGCCGGC